rnacentral:rRNA from 1 species
GACGAACGCUGGCGGCGUGCCUAAUACAUGCAAGUAGAACGCUGAAGGAGGAGCUUGCUUCUCUGGAUGAGUUGCGAACGGGUGAGUAACGCGUAGGUAACCUGCCUGGUAGUGGGGGAUAACUAUUGGAAACGAUAGCUAAUACCGCAUAAUAUUGACUAUUGCAUGAUAGUCAAUUAAAAGGUGCAAUUGCAUCACUACCAGAUGGACCUGCGUUGUAUUAGCUAGUUGGUGGGGUAACGGCUCACCAAGGCGACGAUACAUAGCCGACCUGAGAGGGUGAUCGGCCACACUGGGACUGAGACACGGCCCAGACUCCUACGGGAGGCAGCAGUAGGGAAUCUUCGGCAAUGGACGGAAGUCUGACCGAGCAACGCCGCGUGAGUGAAGAAGGUUUUCGGAUCGUAAAGCUCUGUUGUAAGAGAAGAACGAGUGUGAGAGUGGAAAGUUCACACUGUGACGGAUCGUACCAGAAAGGACG